AGUUCUGUAGCUCAAUUGGUCAGAGCGUUGGUCUUAUGAGCCGAAGGUCGCGGGUUCGACCCCCGCCAGAACUA
rfam:Selaginella moellendorffii unplaced genomic scaffold SELMOscaffold_1, whole genome shotgun sequence.